GUAAUCAGAGAAUUAAUAUUUUAAUAUUUAUAUUUAAUAAAAGUAGUAUACAAUAAUUUAAUGUUAGAAUAUUUAUAUAAGUAGAUAGGGUUACCAAGAUCAGCAUCGCUAAAUACCGUUCAGAUUUUUUUAACUUUGUAAAACUUGGAUUUUAAAUUUUAUCUAUAUUUUUUAUCUAGUAAUCAAGUAGUCUCAAAUUUAAUGGGUUUUCGGAAUGAAAUCUCAAUCCGGACUAGAAAACCGGAAUCAAGUUGAAGGCUAAUGGACCAUUCCCAUUCUAGUCCGGAAUAGGAAUCCUAAACCGAUUCAUACGAACCAAACAAAAUUAAUCAGAUUUGAUCAAACUGAUUCUCAUUCCAUAUCUAAAAUGGAUGAACCAAACAAGCCUUUAAUUGAUCGUGCGUACUUUUCAUUUAUCAAAUAUUAUAAUAUUUUUUAAAUAAAU
rnacentral:lncRNA from 1 species